rnacentral:rRNA from 1 species
CCUACGGGAGGCAGCAGUGGGGGAUAUUGCACAAUGGGGGGAACCCUGAUGCAGCGACGCCGCGUGGGUGAAGGAGUGCUUCGGCAUGUAAAGCCCUAUCGGCCGGGAAGAAGCAAGACGGUACCUGACUCAGAAGCCCCGGCCAAAUACGUGCCAGCAGCCGCGGGAACAAGGAGGGGGCGAGCGUUAUCCGGAUUCACUGGGGGUAAAGGGAGCGUAGACGGCCAUGCAAGCCAGGGGUGAAAGCCCGGGGCCCAACCCCGGGCCUGCCCUUGGAAAUGUGCGGCUUGAGUGCGGGAGGGGUAGGCGGAAUGCCUGGUGUAGCGGUGAAAUGCGUAGAUAUCAGGAAGAACACCGACGGCGAAGGCAGCCUGCUGGCCCGCGACUGACGUUGAGGCUCGAAAGCGUGGGGAGCGAACAGGAUUAGAUACCCCUGUAGUC